AAAGUACUUUCAGCAGUGAGGAAGGUGGAUAUGUUAAUAGCAUACUCAUUUGACGUUUAGCUGCAGAAGAAGCACCGGCUAACUCCGUGCCAGCAGCCGCGGUAAUACGGAGGGUGCGAGCGUUAAUCGGAAUUACUGGGCGUAAAGCGCAUGCAGGUGGUUUGUUAAGUCAGAUGUGAAAGCCCGGGGCUCAACCUCGGAAUUGCAUUUGAAACUGGCAAACUAGAGUACUGUAGAGGGGGUAGAAUUUCAGGUGUAGCGGUGAAAUGCGUAGAGAUCUGAAGGAAUACCGGUGGCGAAGGCGGCCCCCUGGACAGAUACUGACACUCAGAUGCGAAAGCGUGGGGAGCAAACAGGAUUAGAUACCCUGGUAG
rnacentral:rRNA from 1 species